GACGAACGCUGUCGGCGUGCUUAACACAUGCAAGUCGAACGGAAAGGCCCUGCUUUUGUGGGGUGCUCGAGUGGCGAACGGGUGAGUAACACGUGAGUAACCUGCCCUUGACUUUGGGAUAACUUCAGGAAACUGGGGCUAAUACCGGAUAGGAGCUCCUGCUGCAUGGUGGGGGUUGGAAAGUUUCGGCGGUUGGGGAUGGACUCGCGGCUUAUCAGCUUGUUGGUGGGGUAGUGGCUUACCAAGGCUUUGACGGGUAGCCGGCCUGAGAGGGUGACCGGCCACAUUGGGACUGAGAUACGGCCCAGACUCCUACGGGAGGCAGCAGUGGGGAAUAUUGCACAAUGGGCGGAAGCCUGAUGCAGCAACGCCGCGUGCGGGAUGACGGCCUUCGGGUUGUAAACCGCUUUCGCCUGUGACGAAGCGUGAGUGACGGUAAUGGGUAAAGAAGCACCGGCUAACUACGUGCCAGCAGCCGCGGUGAUACGUAGGGUGCGAGCGUUGUCCGGAUUUAUUGGGCGUAAAGGGCUCGUAGGUGGUUGAUCGCGUCGGAAGUGUAAUCUUGGGGCUUAACCCUGAGCGUGCUUUCGAUACGGGUUGACUUGAGGAAGGUAGGGGAGAAUGGAAUUCCUGGUGGAGCGGUGGAAUGCGCAGAUAUCAGGAGGAACACCAGUGGCGAAGGCGGUUCUCUGGGCCUUUCCUGACGCUGAGGAGCGAAAGCGUGGGGAGCGAACAGGCUUAGAUACCCUGGUAGUCCACGCUGUAAACGGUGGGUACUAGGUGUGGGGUCCAUUCCACGGGUUCCGUGCCGUAGCUAACGCUUUAAGUACCCCGCCUGGGGAGUACGGCCGCAAGGCUAAAACUCAAAGGAAUUGACGGGGCCCCGCACAAGCGGCGGAGCAUGCGGAUUAAUUCGAUGCAACGCGUAGAACCUUACCUGGGUUUGACAUGGAUCGGGAGUGCUCAGAGAUGGGUGUGCCUCUUUUGGGGUCGGUUCACAGGUGGUGCAUGGCUGUCGUCAGCUCGUGUCGUGAGAUGUUGGGUUAAGUCCCGCAACGAGCGCAACCCUUGUUCACUGUUGCCAGCACGUUAUGGUGGGGACUCAGUGGAGACCGCCGGGGUCAACUCGGAGGAAGGUGGGGAUGACGUCAAGUCAUCAUGCCCCUUAUGUCCAGGGCUUCACGCAUGCUACAAUGGCUGGUACAGAGAGUGGCGAGCCUGUGAGGGUGAGCGAAUCUCGGAAAGCCGGUCUCAGUUCGGAUUGGGGUCUGCAACUCGACCUCAUGAAGUCGGAGUCGCUAGUGAUCGCAGAUCAGCAACGCUGCGGUGAAUACGUUCCCGGG
rnacentral:rRNA from 1 species